GCUGGCUCAGGAUGAACGCUAGCUACAGGCUUAACCCUUGCAAGUCGAGGGGCAGCGGGAUUGAAGCUUGCUUCAAUUGCCGGCGACCGGCGCACGGGUGAGUAACGCGUAUCCAAUCUUCCGUACACUCAGGGAUAGCCUUUCGAAAGAAAGAUUAAUACCUGAUAGUAUCUUAAGCACACAUGUAAUUAAGAUUAAAGAUUUAUCGGUGUACGAUGGGGAUGCGUUCCAUUAGGUAGUAGGCGGGGUAACGGCCCACCUAGCCAACGAUGGAUAGGGGUUCUGAGAGGAAGGUCCCCCACAUUGGAACUGAGACACGGUCCAAACUCCUACGGGAGGCAGCAGUGAGGAAUAUUGGUCAAUGGACGAGAGUCUGAACCAGCCAAGUAGCGUGAAGGAUGAAGGUCCUACGGAUUGUAAACUUCUUUUAUAAGGGAAUAAACCCUCCCACGUGUGGGAGCUCGUAUGUACCUUAUGAAUAAGCAUCGGCUAACUCCGUGCCAGCAGCCGCGGUAAUACGGAGGAUGCGAGCGUUAUCCGGAUUUAUUGGGUUUAAAGGGAGCGCAGACGGGUCGUUAAGUCAGCUGUGAAAGUUUGGGGCUCAACCUUAAGAUUGCAGUUGAUACUGGCGUCCUUGAGUGCGGUUGAGGUGUGCGGAAUUCGUGGUGUAGCGGUGAAAUGCUUAGAUAUCACGAAGAACUCCGAUUGCGAAGGCAGCACACUAAUCCGUAACUGACGUUCAUGCUCGAAAGUGUGGGUAUCAAACAGGAUUAGAUACCCUGGUAGUCCACACGGUAAACGAUGGAUACUCGCUGUUGGCGAUAUACUGUCAGCGGCUUAGCGAAAGCGUUAAGUAUCCCACCUGGGGAGUACGCCGGCAACGGU
rnacentral:rRNA from 1 species